rnacentral:rRNA from 1 species
GACGAACGCUGGCGGCGUGCUUAACACAUGCAAGUCGAACGGAAAGGCCCUGCUUUUGUGGGGUGCUCGAGUGGCGAACGGGUGAGUAACACGUGAGUAACCUGCCCUUGACUUUGGGAUAACUUCAGGAAACUGGGGCUAAUACCGGAUAGGAGCUCCUGCUGCAUGGUGGGGGUUGGAAAGUUUCGGCGGUUGGGGAUGGACUCGCGGCUUAUCAGCUUGUUGGUGGGGUAGUGGCUUACCAAGGCUUUGACGGGUAGCCGGCCUGAGAGGGUGACCGGCCACAUUGGGACUGAGAUACGGCCCAGACUCCUACGGGAGGCAGCAGUGGGGAAUAUUGCACAAUGGGCGGAAGCCUGAUGCAGCAACGCCGCGUGCGGGAUGACGGCCUUCGGGUUGUAAACCGCUUUCGCCUGUGACGAAGCGUGAGUGACGGUAAUGGGUAAAGAAGCACCGGCUAACUACGUGCCAGCAGCCGCGGUGAUACGUAGGGUGCGAGCGUUGUCCGGAUUUAUUGGGCGUAAAGGGCUCGUAGGUGGUUGAUCGCGUCGGAAGUGUAAUCUUGGGGCUUAACCCUGAGCGUGCUUUCGAUACGGGUUGACUUGAGGAAGGUAGGGGAGAAUGGAAUUCCUGGUGGAGCGGUGGAAUGCGCAGAUAUCAGGAGGAACACCAGUGGCGAAGGCGGUUCUCUGGGCCUUUCCUGACGCUGAGGAGCGAAAGCGUGGGGAGCGAACAGGCUUAGAUACCCUGGUAGUCCACGCUGUAAACGGUGGGUACUAGGUGUGGGGUCCAUUCCACGGGUUCCGUGCCGUAGCUAACGCUUUAAGUACCCCGCCUGGGGAGUACGGCCGCAAGGCUAAAACUCAAAGGAAUUGACGAGGCCCCGCACAAGCGGCGGAGCAUGCGGAUUAAUUCGAUGCAACGCGUAGAACCUUACCUGGGUUUGACAUGGAUCGGGAGUGCUCAGAGAUGGGUGUGCCUCUUUUGGGGUCGGUUCACAGGUGGUGCAUGGCUGUCGUCAGCUCGUGUCGUGAGAUGUUGGGUUAAGUCCCGCAACGAGCGCAACCCUUGUUCACUGUUGCCAGCACGUUAUGGUGGGGACUCAGUGGAGACCGCCGGGGUCAACUCGGAGGAAGGUGGGGAUGACGUCAAGUCAUCAUGCCCCUUAUGUCCAGGGCUUCACGCAUGCUACAAUGGCUGGUACAGAGAGUGGCGAGCCUGUGAGGGUGAGCGAAUCUCGGAAAGCCGGUCUCAGUUCGGAUUGGGGUCUGCAACUCGACCUCAUGAAGUCGGAGUCGCUAGUAAUCGCAGAUCAGCAACGCUGCGGUGAAUACGUUCCCGGG